AGAGGCACGGGGAAUGAUUUGCAUCGAAUAAUAAAUUGCCUCAUAUGUACCAAACAACCUCAUAAGAAUAAUAUAACUCAUCGUAUUAUUAUAUAUAGAAAUAGCAAUAACACUAUCGAGUGUCGAUAUUGAUUAUAGAUUUUGUUUUUGGGCUCGAGGUCGAGGCACAUCUUAAUCUUAUACGCGUCGUCUCCUUUUCUCCACAUGCGCUUCUCUUUCUUCAUCUUCCUUGAAGAUUAAUGUACUUACCGCAAGAAG